AUUUCAACUCUCAAUUUGUGUAAGUGUUUCCUGUUCUCCCCCAUUCCAGCUCAUUGUUCCAGUCUUCAUUCUGCCUUCCAUGUGCUUUUAGAUUACUGUUGCAGAGAAGGAGAAAAGGAAAAACAAAGUCUCUGUAGCAAAUACGCCAAGUCAAGCAAAAUACAUUCCUGCCUUGGCCAUUUCUAAAAAUGUAUAUGUCAUACUGCACAUGGAAUCCAUCACCUCUCUGUAAGGAGGGAUUUCCUGGCUCCCAGAAGAUGGCUUGAGCCUGUCAGUCCCUAAGCACAAGAUCUCCAGGCAGCAACAGAAGAAGUGGGCAGCUUUUUGGCAAAUUCUGUGACAUCUGGAAUGGAAGAAGGUAAGAUUCAGGGGGCUAAAAGUGUGUGUUUGUUUUUUCUUCUUUAAAUAGAAUAGCU